AGUGAACGCUGGCGGUAGGCCUAACACAUGCAAGUCGAACGGCAGCACAGUAAGAGCUUGCUCUUACGGGUGGCGAGUGGCGGACGGGUGAGGAAUACAUCCGAAUCUACUUUUUCGUGGGGGGUAACGUAGGGAAACUUACGCUAAUACCGCAUACGACCUACGGGUGAAAGCAGGGGAUCUUCGGACCUUGCGCGAUUGAAUGAGCCGAUGUCGGAUUAGCUAGUUGGCGGGGUAAAGGCCCACCAAGGCGACGAUCCGUAGCUGGUCUGAGAGGAUGAUCAGCCACACUGGAACUGAGACACGGUCCAGACUCCUACGGGAGGCAGCAGUGGGGAAUAUUGGACAAUGGGCGCAAGCCUGAUCCAGCCAUACCGCGUGGGUGAAGAAGGCCUUCGGGUUGUAAAGUCCUUUUGUUGGGAAAGAAAAGCAGCAGGUUAAUACACCGCUGUUAUGACGGUACCCAAAGAAUAAGCACCGGCUAACUUCGUG
rnacentral:rRNA from 1 species